AACGAACGCUGGCGGCAGGCUUAACACAUGCAAGUCGAACGCCCGUAGCAAUACGGGAGUGGCAGACGGGUGAGUAACGCGUGGGAACGUGCCCUUUGGUACGGAACAACUCCGGGAAACUGGAGCUAAUACCGUAUGUGCCCUUCGGGGGAAAGAUUUAUCGCCAAAGGAUCGGCCCGCGUCUGAUUAGCUAGUUGGUGGGGUAACGGCUCACCAAGGCGACGAUCAGUAGCUGGUCUGAGAGGAUGAUCAGCCACACUGGGACUGAGACACGGCCCAGACUCCUACGGGAGGCUG
rnacentral:rRNA from 1 species